CCUACGGGAGGCAGCAGUAGGGAAUCUUUCACAAUGGGCGAAAGCCUGAUGGAGCAACGCCGCGUGCAGGAUGAAGGCCUUCGGGUUGUAAACUGCUUUUAUAAGCGAGAAAUAUGAUGGUAACUUAUGAAUAAGGAUCGGCUAACUACGUGCCAGCAGCCUCGGUCAUACGGAGGAUCCGAGCAUUAGCCGGAGUGACUGGGUGUAAAGAGUUGCGUAGGUGGCAUAAUAAGUAGCUAGUGAAAACUGGUGGCUCAACCAUUCCGACUAUUGGCUAAAAUGUUAAGCUCGAGACAGUUAGGAGUAACUGGAAUUUCUAGUGUAGGAGUGAAAUCCGUAGAUAUUAGAAGGAACACCAAUAGCGUAGGCAGGUUGCUGGGACGGUUCUGACACUAAGGCACGAAAGCGUAGGGAGCAAACGGGAUUAGAUACCCUGGUAGUC
rnacentral:rRNA from 1 species